GUGCUCCGGGGUCGGUGAAAUUCCGAACCGGCGGUUAUAGUCCGCGACCCGCACAAACCCGCAAGGGUUUGCGCGGUUGAGCUGGUGAAAUUCCAGCACCGACAGUCAAAGUCUGGAUGGGAGAAG
rnacentral:ncRNA from 1 species